AGUGAACGCUGGCGGUAGGCCUAACACAUGCAAGUCGAACGGCGGCACAGUAAGAGCUUGCUCUUACGGGUGGCGAGUGGCGGACGGGUGAGGAAUACAUCGGAAUCUACUUUUUCGUGGGGGAUAACGUAGGGAAACUUACGCUAACACCGCAUACGACCUACGGGUGAAAGCAGGGGAUCUUCGGACCUUGCGCGAUUGAAUGAGUCGAUGUCGGAUUAGCUAGUUGGCGGGGUAAAGGCCCACCAAGGCGACGAUCCGUAGCUGGUCUGAGAGGAUGAUCAGCCACACUGGAACUGAGACACGGUCCAGACUCCUACGGGAGGCAGCAGUGGGGAAUAUUGGACAAUGGGCGCAAGCCUGAUCCAGCCAUACCGCGUGGGUGAAGAAGGCCUUCGGGUUGUAAAGCCCUUUUGUUGGGAAAGAAAAGCAGCAGGUUAAUACCCCGCUGUUCUGACGGUACCCAAAGAAUAAGCACCGGCUAACUUCGU
rnacentral:rRNA from 1 species